CCACGUGCAAGCGCAGUCUACCUUCUCCCCCCCCAUGUUGACCGACGCGCGCACAGCCGUGGGCGGGAGGGGCUGUGGCUCCUUGCCGGGAGGACGGGUCGGGGAGAAUAAUUGAGAACCGCGGACAAACGUUGUGGCAACUUUUAAUACACUUUGGGGGGGAUAAAAAACAUGUCAAGAUAGCGAAAGUGCGCCCUCCUGUGGGGACAAUUUUUAAAGCGCUUUGAGGGGAUAAAAACAUGGCAAGGAAGCGAAAGGGCGCCCUCCUGUGGGGAGAAUUUUUAAAGCGCUUUGGGGGGAUAAAAACCUUGCCAAGGCAGGGAAUGGCCUCCCGUGUCGCAGCCUUGAACAGGAAAGACCGCGUGUGUGGCUGAGUGUGGUGUCCGGAUGCUUAACGGUUGACGUGCAGGUUGAAGCUUCUUUGGAUGCGGACAGCCACUCAAACCGAGAUCACGUCCAAGCCGAGCAGACGUCCGCAGGGCAGGGCUGUGGGUGGCAAAUGCAUCCCUCCAAAUGGAGCCUUCCCUUUCAGAGACAGUCUGCCGCAGAAUUGCCAAACACCGGGGGCAAGAAUGCAGGCAGAGCCGCUUUUGCAGAUCCGGGCCGCUCUGCCUGGCCUUUUUGCCUCUCCCCGGGCUGCACCCUCCCUGGCCCUUCUUCACAACCUCCUUGGCCACUGGUGCCUGGCCGGAGGAUACUUGGGGGAGGGUGUGUGGAACAUCAGCUACCGUGAAAGGUCAUCUGUACCCCCUUUGCUCCACCCACUCUUGCCUCUGGCCCUGGACACCACUUGCAUGUGGCCUCCAGAAGGCAAUGGGGACUGACAAAGACCCCAGGCCUGAAAUAGAAAAGUCUUCUAUGUCGUCGGACCCUUUGCCAGCCGUAGGUCCAGAUUUUCCGCUCUGUUUGCCUCGGGGGCAUUCCCAGUGGUGUUCGGUCGAUGCAGCCCAUCCUCUUCCUCUUUGCUUUAGGACGGCAGCCGCCGCUCUCCGUCCCGUCCACCAUCCCGCAGUCUCCUCCGGGCAGCCAAACCCAGACGUCCAUGGGGAUAGACAUCAGUUCGCGCUGUGUCCUCCUGUAGGGAUCACUCCAGCAGUACCGCAACCAUGCUGGUUCCCCGGCCAACCAGUCUCCCACCUCUCCUGUCUCCAAUCAAGCUUUCUCUCCAGGCAGCUCCCCUCAACGAGCAGAGAAGUGGAUGCUUUUUGUGGAACACUUCGCGUCUUCAGUUGAUUUGGGCAAGGGGAGAUUAUUUGGAGUGCAAGCGUAGAGGAUCCAGAUCAGCCAAAGUACUUCUCCCUCUUUGCAAAUAAGGGGAGAAGGGGGUUAGGACAUUUUCACUCCCCCCCCGCCACUCCAUUCUACAAACUCCAGCCAGCUGACGACGUUGUUUUCCUGAAUCUCUCCGAUGCUUCAGAGCCGCCUACCUUCAAACACCCAUCAGUAGCUGCACCCCUCUUUCCCACCCCCUGGGUGUGGCCGGCUGUCGCCUUUGCUUCAGAGGCACCCUCCCUUGCAGACAUCAACGGACAAUGAACGGAGCCUUCCCACCAGUAGGCAAACGCCUCCUCUGGAAUGACUGGAAACGGGGCACGUUUUCCAAGCUUCAGCGCAUCUCUGCCCAGAGCCAGCGAGUGAUUCCAAGGAGGCUUCGGAGGACAGUUACUGGAGAGCGUGCAAAGCAUCUCUCGACAUCUGCUAAUCGGGGCAGAGAUGGAGAUGGCUGUAUUGGCAAUGGAGGACUUGGGACUAGAAAUACGGAUCGCCGCAGAGGGCUGCACCCGGCGUCCUCUGUCCGCUAGCACAAGGCGGUACCGCAGAUUUGCCCAGAUGAUGUUCUCCUGAGAGAAGCAGAAGACGCCAAGGCGGCCACCGCGCAUCGUUGUGUCAAGGACCACGCCUGUGUCUGCCACCAGCUCAGACCCCUCAUAGAAGCGAGCUCUGCAAAAAAGACAGAGAAACACUGACCUUCUCUUUAACACCGUGCCAUUGGCACAGUUAGCCCAAAUCUUACGGGCCUCCCACUUUUGUAAAGCUUCCAACAAGACGGAGGCCGCACUUCUGCUGCCACGACAAUUAAAAAACACAAUUAAUAACAAUGCUACCUCAU